rnacentral:misc_RNA from 1 species
UUUUUUUUUUCCAUACAAACCUUGUGGAUGAUUUAUUACCAGGUAUUUCGUUUCAAAUUGAUUAAACUGGAAGAUCUGAUUUCUGCAUAUACAGACUGUGUUUAAUUGAUCAGGGAUAGCUUUUGGAAUUUUGAAUUAGUUGAGUGUUUGAAUCAAUACAUAAAGGAUAUAUUGCCAUUUUAUUCGGAAGGCAAAAAAAAUAUUUUGACUUGAAUGACAAGUGACCAGCCCAUUAUAUGAUUUACCUAUGAAAGAGAACCACCACAUUUCAAUGGUGCGUCUGAUUCAUUCCUGGGAGGAUUCGCAGUGCGAUGGAUACAGAAACCCUCACUCCUCCAAAAUGACUUUAUCAGAAGACACGGUGCUACGAGUAGCACUACCCCCUGAAAAAUGUACAGGGGCAUCAAAGCCAAAGGACUAUUAUUAUGACAUGAGCAUUUUUCAGAGAUGGAUUGAACGAAAGAAGCAGAGGAAAUCCGCUAAGAUAACUGGGUUGGAGUCCUUGAUGGGUUUGGACAGAAGCCAUAUUGAGGAUGAAACCUUGCGACAUUCCUCUUGGUAUCAGGCCGGAAUCCCAAGAGAGAUUGCGUUAGAAAUUCUACAGCAGGAGGAGAUAGGGUCAUUUAUAGUCAGAGAUAGCUCCACCCAUCCAGGUUGUUAUGCCUUGUCCGUCCGAGUGCCAAAGUUUGAAAAUCCGACAGGAAUUUCCCAUUAUCUCAUAUUGAAAACACAGAGGGGCGUGAAGUUAAAGGUAAUAAACUGCCGACAUCUGUUACCCUGGAGUUUGAAUGAAAAAUUUUAUGUCUUGCACCAGACUUGUGCAUUCAUUACCCUGCAGUUUAUUUUAUUUUUCACAAUAAAAUGAAAAUUGGAUGAUAAAAAGAUGGAGAAGUGAUUCAACCUGUCCUUGACGUAAUCUAUGUGUAAGGGGUACAGUGUAAUUAUAAGAUAAUUUAUUUUUUAUUUAAUCAGGGCUUGGAGAAAGAGUGGCCUGACCUAUUAGCACUAGUCACCCAUCAUACAGUGAUGUCGGAAAUGUUACCGUGUACACUAAGACUUCCUCACAAAUCUAAGAAUCCGGCCUACAAAGAUUCAGAGGACGGCAAGAAAGAGGACGACCCAGAUUAUCAGAGACUGUCGGACUUCACGUCCAUGAUGGCCGCCCUCAAAAACUGACCACCGUGAUUCAUAUUCAUCCACUGGGCUGUGUGUAAUCAGAACACCACGUUGUUGUUUAUUUAUUUGUUUUGUUUUUUUAAAUGUCUGUUUUUUGUAGCCUUGAAUGUUACCAUGUUUUUUUUGGCAUUUUUAUUCUUGGAUUACAAUGUACUUCAUUCUGUGCCCUCCCCAAAACCCCCAUUUUCUCCUUCUAUUGUAACCUGAUGCUGCAGAUUUGAGUCCAUUUAUCAACACUUAGACAUAUGUGAUCAGGUUGAUGUUUGAAGUUUUUAUGUUGACAUACACUGCUGAUUUUUUUGAUUUUUUUUUGUUGAGGGACAAGUUUUCUUUGUGCCACAUUUACCAAUAUAAUGACCAUGAUGGAUAGAAGUUUGACAUGCAUGAUGUUGUAUACAACACUGGUUAACAGCAAACUGUGUACAUAAGAAUUCCAUUAAUGUCUACAUAACUUUAGUGCUAAAACUUAACAGGGAUUUUUUAAGAUCAAUUGUAAGACAAGAUUUAGUCAAAAUUUCCCUCUCAGUCUGAAUCCUCGUUUUUUUCACCUUCCGGAUAUAAAUCUAUGAAACCCUUUAUUGAUCAUCAAAAAUUUAUGGAAAAGCUUACCUUUUUUUUUUAAACAUUUAUAUUGUAAUUUGCCUAGUACAAUAGCUCUGUAUAAUUGGCAGAUUGUUUUCAACUGUAUUGUCAUGGGCAUUGAUUUUCAAAAAAUCAACACUGGCAUUAAUUGUGACAUGUAUCAUGUUCAAUGAGGUCAAUCUCCUUCUUUUUAACAUACAGUGGGUAAUUACCCUUGUGUACAUGUAUUUGUAUAAAUAAUUGAUGUUUUUGCCAAUGUUAACAGUUGCUGACUAUGUUUGUUUGUUUGUUUGUUUGUUUGUUUGGUGCUUCAUCAGGAUGGAUUUGUGUGUUAUAUAUAAACCUUUUUCGGUGUGACAACCGUUAUAUACAUGUACACACAUUGUACCCAUCUUCAUUCAACAUAUGUACUCCCAUUUUCCACAUAAAAAACUAGGUCCAACUAUGAAUGUUUACUAGAAAUGGUUGUCACUUCUCAGAAUUCGUCAUUCCAUGUCAAGAGUCCAUAUAUGUGCUUUGUCUUCCAUGGAAUUAUUUGCAAUAGAAGGAGUUGCUUUUAACCAAAGCUUUAGAUUAUUGACAUUUGAUGCUGUAGUUUUAACUUGUGUAUAGGUUUAUAUAUAUGAGUUGUACAAGGCAAUAAUUUUGUGUGGUUGAUAGAACCAUACAACCCCCCAGCUUCUGCCUUAGCAAACUGUGAUGCAGGAUUUAUGUACAUGUUAUUUGUGAUUCAGAUUUGUUACAAAGUAUUAUGGCAUCUUGCCUUCAAAUAAAUAUUUAUCAGAAAC